UCCCGCGCCUUGCCUUUAUGGAAACGUAAACAAACAGUAAACAUCGGUGUCAUGAUCGGCGCCCUCUGCCCAAUACCGAUAAUAUCUACUCAUUUAAUUGAUUAUAGGAUUUUAAUAAUCAGAGUUUUAAAGUGGACAUCGCCGAUUUUCUAUAUAAAUCGCAAGGAACUAUCGGACUAGAAAUGUUCUUGACAUGAGCAAAGAAGUCUCUGCGGAGUCAUUUUACCCAAAGGAAUAGGAAGAUCGGCCUGAGGUGUACCUGUCCUGGACAUCAGUCGUGCAGCCAGUGGAAUCAUCAGAUACUAGUUGUGUUGGCAUUGCAGCACACAGCAGGAGAAAUGGCCCCUUUUUCUCAUGAUCGCAGGAAUGAAUCUGGUACUUAGAUUCGCCCAAAGUCACGAGCAGAAACAAGCCAGCUAGUUAAACAAGAUGUUCUCUCAUAAUGUAAAUGAUUUGAAACAAUAAAAAAUUAAAAUACUA